rnacentral:lncRNA from 1 species
AGAGAAGAGGGUUCUGAAAUCAAAGGAGAAAUCCAGAAAAAUAAAAAUUUUAUUUCCUGGCAAAAUUUUAAUUAAUAAAACAAGGUCAAAUUUUUGGGGCGUUACAUAGGCAUCCACGCGUCAGCAUUUCAGGGGCUGGGGUUUUUGUUUUUUUUGAAAGGGGGGGUUGGGGGUUUUGGGGGGUUAAUUUAGGUGUUUCAUAUAUUGUGUUAGCUAGCUAAUUAAUAGAGAGAAGUGUCCUCUCUUAUCUCCGUGCUUGGUCGACGCUACGUACUAUAUACGUAUGGAGAGGACUAGACAUGCUAGCUAGUAAGCAAAUGAAGGAAACAGAAGAUCGUCAUGAACAUAUGCAUACAGAGAGAAGUGAUAUCGACCACCUCUCCUUCUCCGAGAGAUUGGUCGAACAACAAGUUCUCGUAUAUCUAUCUGACACUACCGGCUACAUAUAUACAAUAAUUAUCUCUUACAAUAUAAUCUCCUAAUUAAAUUGUAAGAACACAGGGUCCACAUAGUAUUCUCCGUUUUCAGCGAUCACGUGGUCAAGGAAGAAUGCCGCCAAUUCCUCUUGAAUUGCUCGCAUACGAUCUUCUGCUAGGAGUUCAUCCCGCAUCCGAAACAUCUAAUUUGAAGAAGGGGGUCAAUACAUAUAUAUAUAUAUAUAUAUAUAUAUAUAUAUAUAUAUAUAUAUAUAUAUAUGAAUAAAUGAAACUCGACACAAAUGAUGGUAAUAAAAUAAAAUUGUGAAUAUUAUUUCUUACGCACUUCAUAUUGUUCGUCAGAGUAGCCCCGCUCACAGGUCGUGUGGCGGAUAGACUCGCAAACGUAGUAUCCACGGAAAUCAUUCCCUUGUUCCUGCCACAACCACUUUACAAGAAAUAGAGGUCAAUCUAACUGAUAAGCAAGCAUGCUAAAUGGUAUUGAUGAAACUAGCACUUGAAUCACUAGGAGAUGUGCGGAACAUGCUACUAUAGUACUUACUUUCGGGUGUCUAAAUUGCAGCUUCUUCGGCAGUCCCGGAGCUUUUGUGGUGAAUUUUCUCCAAACCCUGCCAGACAAAGAAAACAAUUACUUGAUAUCAGGAAAUGAACAAAGUUGCUGAUAUGGUGGAUAAUGAUCGAUUUAACUUACUUCUCGAGCAUUUGAGUAAUGUCCGCAUAGUCCUGGGGAUCUUUUCGUCUCGAGUCUAAGAAGGUUACUACUCCCUGCUCAAGCUUAAUCUCUAGGAGAAUAUAGUGGAAGCUGCGCAUGCAUGCAUAAGUCAUCAAUUACAUUACCAUAACCUGGACUAAUAAGGGAAACCGAAUAUGCACAAGACAGUAACACUCACUUGAAGUUGUAAGGAAAGAGUAUUAUAUCUUUGUUUUGAUUUAAUACCAACGAUCGUAGCAAGUUGGCCUCGGCUUCUUUGGCAUGUUUUUCAACCGUAUAUGCAUCUAUGAGAUUUGUGUUAAUGAACCCAAUAUCACCGAUUUGUCUUUUCUUCAAUUCGGCAAUCUUCAAUCUGCAUAAUAUAGUGAGGAUAAUUAUAAAUACAUGCAAUGAAAGAGCUGACCUAUAUAGAGAGACUUAAUGACAGAAGUAGUACUACUUACAGACAGUAGCAAUUGAUCGUUGAUUUAUCGAGGGCCUUUUGAUUGAAAAACUGGAAGAACUCCUCAAAUGGAACAUUCAGCAGUUCAAUUCCAACGAGGUCAUGCUCCGGUUUAACUCUCAGCGUCAAAGUAUUCAUCCCAUCAGACUCUCUGCAGUUUUUCAUGUACCAAUCAUGUAAUCUUCGCAUCAUCGUUGUUAGAGAUCUUUCAUCUUUGACGAGAGGCUUCCCGUAAUGGUAUUUGUGUUCGUCCACCUCCAUGAUUUCAUAAUGUACAUCGUCGGGCAGGUAAUCUCCAAGAUUGCUAUAACCGGCCACCAUCCUCGGAUCAUUAGCGACGAUGUCUUUAGACACCUUGAGCGGGGGGCACGAUUGGUUCGCUUGUUCGCCGAGCUGGGCAAUUUUUUUCCCAGCUCGUCGUUCUUUUAACCUUUGAUCACUGACAGUACUUCCUGACCGCUCUGCUUCGACAAAUGUCUUUGCAAUAAUGCGCUCAUAGUUGCCUUUCGGCAGAGACUUUGGUGGUUUUGUCAGGGCAUCCAGAGUGCGCUUCGCUUUCACCGGAUCUACCUUCUCCUCCGGAGGUGGAUGUUUCUUUGCUUUCACCCCUUCAAAGAAGUUCUUCACUUCGGCUCGCACGAUCUUCGCGUUCUCCUCCUCGGUCCUCUCGUAUGGUAACUUCUCUGGAGUCUUCAGAGAAGGACCGAAUCUGUAUUGCCUCGCGCCUCUGGCAGCUGUACUGCUAGACGCCGGCAGAGCAGACGGAGCGGUUGCGGCUGUCUUCUUUCCUUGCUUACGAGGCGGAGGAGAAGGACUACAACGCGCUGGAGCAGCCGGAGCGGCGGCGGGUCUCUUCCGCCCUUGCUGACGAGGCGGAGAAGGAGGAGGCUGGCUGCUCUGGCACGCCGGCGCAAGCGGAGAAGGAGGCGGAGUGCCGCCACACGCCGGAGAAGGAGGCUGAGUGCCCUGAUCACUCGCCGGAGGAGGAGGCGGAGAAGGAGGCUGAGUGCCUCCACGCGCCGGAGAAGGAGGCUGAGUGCCCUGAUCAUUCGCUGGAGGAGAAGGCGGCGGCAGAGUGCCCUUACUCGCCGGAGGCGUCUAGUUCGGAAGGUUAAUGAGCUCCUUCCGCCAUAGGCACGGAGUCUUCAGAGCUAAACCCAGCCGAGUCUCCCCUUCACCGGUAGGGUGGUCAAGCUGGAGAUCCUCAAAUCCCUCCGUUAUUUCAUCCACCAUCACCCUAGCAUAUCCUUCUGGAAUUGGCCGGCAGUGGUAGGUUGCGCCGGGUUCAAGAGGUAAAACAGAGCCAACAGCUGCCUUGACUUUGAAGUUCUGCCAUUGCGCCAUAAGGUGGCAAUGUUGAGACUCCGUGAUAGCAUCCACGGGGUAGCUAGCAGGAGCCGUCAAGACAUGCUCCGGCUGAAGCAGCUCGGUGGAAGCCACGCUGCUUCUCCACUGAGAUGGCGGGGUAGCUUCGGGGGUAGUUUCGGCAUGUCGAUUGCCAUCUCGUUCCUCUAGCGCUUGAACCCUUUCGUGCAGCUUCUGAAUUUGGGUCUGCUCCAUAUUUUUCCUCCUCUCCUGGCUUUUGUAACCGCCUGCGUCCGGAAAACCAGCCUUCCAAGGAACGGAGCCUGGCGUGCCUCGUGUCCGUCCAGGGUGCUCAGGAUUCCCGAGGGCCAUUGUGAGCUCGUCGUUCUCUCUGUCUGGAACGAACAUCCUUUCCUGCGCUGCAUCGAUAUAUUGCUGAAUCUUCUUGACUGGUAUUCUCAAAAGCUCGUUCGUCCAAACGCACCUCCCUGAUACAGGGUCCAAGGUUCCGCCAGCCCCGAAGAACCAAGUCCGGCAACGGUCUGUCCAAUUCAUUGUCUGUGGUUCGGUCCCUUUUUCAAGCAGAUCAUUCUCAGCCUUGGCCCACUUAGGCCGGGCUUUGAGGUAGCCACCAGACCCCGUGCAAUGGUGAAGCUUCUUCUUCGCAGCAUUCUUCUUGUUUGUUGCUGACAUCUUCUUACUCUUUUCCGAUGUCUUGUGGGCCACAAAUGCGGGCCAGUGAUCUCUGAUCUUCUCAUACCGGCCGAUGAAUUCUGGUGUCUCUUCUUUGUCGACAAACAUUUUCAGCUCAUUCUUCCACCUCCUGAAUAGGUCGGCCAUCUUCUUAAGAGCAUGAGACUUGAUUAAUUGCUCUUUAACUGGCUUCUCCGGAUCCUCCUCUGGCGGUAGGGUGAAAUUUGCCUUCAGCUCAGUCCAAAGAUCAUCUUUCUGCAUAUCAUUGACAUAAGACACCUCAGGGUCUUCCUUCUUAGGCUUAUACCAUUGGUGGAUGCUGAUCGGGAUCUUGUCCCUAACUAGAACCCUGCACUGAGCAGCAAAUGCAUCCUUUGUCCGGAUGGGUUCAAUCGGUUAGCCAUCGCGCGCGAUUGCUGUGAUCUCAAACCUUUCAUCCGAGCGCAACUUUCUCUUCGGGCGUCGUCUCUUUACCGAAGUUGUGCUCGAUCCGGAGGGCUAGAAAAAAUAAAAAAGACGAGUGUUAAUUAAUAUGUGUACAUACCAAAACAAUGAAUGCAUCAAUUAGCUAGUCAGCACAGGCUUAACUAAUAUAUUUACCUGGCCGGACUCUGUUCGGUCACCGGAGCCGUCACCACGGGCUCCUUCUUGCACCAGCAUUGGGUCACCGGAGCCAUCAUAAUCAUGUCUUUCCUCCUCCACUCUUCGAUCACCGUAGCCUGCUUCUUCACCCUGUUCUUCCAGACCAUCAUUGUCGUUAAGAUACGACAAGAUAUCACCUCCGGCUAAGAUUAUGUCCCCCAACACCUCUUCUGCUUGCUCGUCUCGUCCGUGCUCCAUUGUUUCUGCAAAUAUUACAACAUGGCAAUUAUUACACAAACAUGACAGCAGGUGGAUAUAUUAGUGCAAACAUGGACCUAGCUUAUUCCGGGUUUGGGGUGGCCUCGGCAACGCUUCAAGGGUAGGGGCGCGGCGGGAGGGGGUAGGAGAUCGACAUCGUUUUUUUCUAGGGUUUGGGUGUCCUCGAGAGUUUUGGUCGAGCGAGAGGGCCGGGGGGGUGCUCCCGUGGUAUAAGUUAUCACGGUCGAGAGGGGGUAUAAAUAUCGACCGUCCAUCAUGUCGAAGUUAUCUGGGAGGGAGUUAUAUAUAUCGACAAUGACGACAUACAUACAUGGGAAAAUAAUGUUAUCGGGGAGGGGGUAUAUCGACCCCCCCCCCCACGUGUUGAAGUUAUCGGGAGGGGGUUAUAUCGACAAUGAUGACAUACGUACAUGGGAAAAUAAUAUUAUCGGGGAGGGGGUAUAUCGACCCCCCCUCGUGUUGAAGUUAUCGGGAGAGGGGUAUAUCGACGACGACAGACCCGAUAAAACAUAAGAAAACGAAGAAGAAACAAAAAGAGGAGAAGAAGAAAGGAAUAGAGGAGAAGAUCGAAGAAAAAAAAAAGGAGAAGAAGAAAGGAAUAGAGGAUAGAAGAAGAAAAAAUAGAAUUUUUUCUAUUUUUUCUUCUUCUCUUCUAUUCCUUUCUUCUUCUCCUCUUCUUUUUCUUCUUUUUUCCUCUUCUUAUUUAUUUCUCCUCUUCUUCCUCUCCUCUUCUUCUCCUUUCUUCCUCUUCUUAUUUUCCUUUUUCCUCUCAUUCAUAAAAAAUGUUCAAAUAGAAAAUUUUGAAAAAAAGUAAAGGUUUUGCCUAAUGCAUUGUUCAUAUGAAUAUACAANNNNNNNNNNNNNNNNNNNNNNNNNNNNNNNNNNNNNNNNNNNNNNNNNNNNNNNNNNNNNNNNNNNNNNNNNNNNNNNNNNNNNNNNNNNNNNNNNNNNNNNNNNNNNNNNNNNNNNNNNNNNNNNNNNNNNNNNNNNNNNNNNNNNNNNNNNNNNNNNNNNNNNNNNNNNNNNNNNNNNNNNNNNNNNNNNNNNNNNNNNNNNNNNNNNNNNNNNNNNNNNNNNNNNNNNNNNNNNNNNNNNNNNNNNNNNNNNNNNNNNNNNNNNNNNNNNNNNNNNNNNNNNNNNNNNNNNNNNNNNNNNNNNNNNNNNNNNNNNNNNNNNNNNNNNNNNNNNNNNNNNNNNNNNNNNNNNNNNNNNNNNNNNNNNNNNNNNNNNNNNNNNNNNNNNNNNNNNNNNNNNNNNNNNNNNNNNNNNNNNNNNNNNNNNNNNNNNNNNNNNNNNNNNNNNNNNNNNNNNNNNNNNNNNNNNNNNNNNNNNNNNCCAACCGGGACUAAAGGGGGGGCAUUGGUCCCGGUUGGUGCCACGAACCGGGACCAAAGGGUGGCAUUGGUCCCGGUUCGUGCCACCAACCGGGACCAAUGGCCUUGCACAGCGGCGUGGUGGUGGGAGUUUAGUCCCACCUCGCUAGCUGAGAGAGAGCCGCACCAGUUUAUAAGGUGCGGUGCGCCUGAGCUGUCGAGCUCCUCUCUAAAGCAGGCUUACGGGCCUAACCUCUUUGUACAUGCAUGUGGGCCUACUGGGCCUUCUGCGGGCCUGAAUCCUGGCCCAUGGAUGGGUUUCUAGUCGUAUUCACGCCGUGGUGGCCCAGUAGGUGGCAUAAUUUUUAUUUUUUGCCUGUUUUUUUGCUUUAUUUAUUUUGUUUUGUUUCUACUUACAACAAAAAACUUAUUUAUUUUAUUUUAUUUUGUUUCUAAUUACUUAUUUAUUUUACUUUAUGAUAUUUCUUUUUGCUAUUAAAGUUUCUAACAAAAAAAGUUCUUUAUGAAAAUUAUUUUUGCUUUCAAUGAUUUUGAACAGAAAAUACUUCGAUAAUUUUAGUUGCAUCAAUUUUAUAUAAUUUUAGUUUCAAUAAUACUAGAGGUUGCUUAUAAUGUUUUGAACAGAAAAUACUUUGAUAAUUUUAGUUUCAUAAAUUUUAUUUAUGUUAUUAAAGUUUAUUUUAUUUUGUUUCUACUUAUAUAUUUUAUUAAAGUUUAUAUUAUUUUGUUUCUAAUUACUUAUUUAUUUUAUUUGUUAUUUUUCAUGCACCAUUUUUCAUGCAUUUACUGAUUAUUUUGAGCUAUAAGACCCUAAAAUUAAAAAUCAUUUCAAAUGAACUCUGAAAAGGUUGAAAGUUGGCAUGGUAUCAUCAUUUCAUCCACAUAGCAUGUGCAAGAAAGUUGAGAGGUUUACGGCAAAAACUGGAUGCACUUCGUGUACAAAACGGACAAUCUCUUUCGAAGUAUCAGGAUUUCAUACGGAAACUCGUCUGUUACAAAGGGAUUUCAUUUUUUUUAAACUUAUUUGAACUCCUGACUUUUUGUGUGUUCAAAAUGCACCAUUCAAAGCCACAUCAUCAAUUUUCAACCCUUUCUGACUUCAUUUGUUAUUUUUCAUGCAUUUACUAAUUAUUUUGAGCUAUAAGACCCUAAAAUUGAAAAGCAUUUCAAAUGAACUCUGAAAAGGUUGAAAGUUGGCAUGGUAUCAUCAUUUCAUCCACAUAGCAUGUGCAAGAAAGUUGAGAGGGUUACGGCAAAAACUAGAUGCACUUCGUGUACAAAAUGGACAAUGGUAUCAUACUCGUCUGUUACAAAGUUGGCAUGGUAUCAUCAUAAUAGUUGCGGGAGAAAGUCUUCACUUUUUCUUCGCUUGUGUCAUUUGCUUAUUGCACCGUAACCAUGGAUAAUCUUCAUCGUUUAUCAGGAUGCUUGGGUCAGCCUUGACUUUCAAGGGAGGAAUUUCAUGAAACUUUUCAUAAUCUUCAGACAUGUCUGUCUUGCCCUCCACUCCCACAAUGUCCCUUUUUCCUGAAAGAACUAUGUGGCGCUUUGGCUCAUCGUAUGAUGUAUUCGCUUCCUUAUCUUUUCGUUUUCUCGGUCUGGUAGACAUGUCCUUCACAUAGAUAACCUGUGCCACAUCAUUGGCUAGGACAAACGGUUCGUCAGUGUACCCAAGAUUGUUCAGAUCCACUGUUGUCAUUCCGUACUGUGGGUCUACCUGUACCCCGCCUCCUGACAGAUUGACCCAUUUGCACUUAAACAAAGGGACCUUAAAAUCAUGUCCGUAGUGAAGUUCCCAUAUGUCCAUUAUGUAACCAUAAUAUGUGUCCUUUCCCCUGUCGGUUGCUGCAUCAAAGCAGACACCGCUGUUUUGGUUGGUGCUCUUUUGAUCUUGGGCGAUCGUGUAAAAUGUAUUCCCAUUUAUCUCGUAUCCUUUGUAAGUCAAUACAGUCGAAGAUGGUCCCCUGGACAACGAGUACAACUCAUCACAAACAGUGGUGUCACCUAGACGUGUUUCCAACCAACUGCUGAAAGUUCUGAUGUGUUCACAUGUAAUCCAGUCGUCACACUGCUCCGGGUGUUUGGAGCGCAGACUGUUCUUGUGUUCAUCGACAUACGGGGUCACCAAGGUAGAGUUCUGUAGAACUGUGUAGUGUGCUUGAGACCAAGAAUAUCCGUCCCUGCAUAUUAUUGAGUCCCCUCCAAGCGUGCCUUUUCCAGUCAGUCUCCCCUCAUACCGCGAUUUAGGGAGACCUAUCUUCUUAAGGCCAGGAAUGAAGUCAACACAAAACCCAAUGACAUCCUCUAUUUGAUGGCCCAUGGAGAUGCUUCCUUCUGGCCUAGCGCGGUUACGGACAUAUUUCUUUAGGACUCCCAUGAACCUCUCAAAGGGGAACAUAUUGUGUAGAAAUACGGGCCCCAGAAUGACAAUCUCGUCGACUAGAUGAACUAGGACGUGCGUCAUGAUAUUGAAGAAGGAUGGUGGGAACACCAGCUCGAAACUGACAAGACAUUGCGCCACAUCACUCCUUAGCCUUGGUAUGAUUUCUGGAUCGAUUACCUUCUAAGAGAUUGCAUUGAGAAAUGCACAUAGCUUCACAAUGGCUAAUCGGACGUUUUUCGGUAGAAGCCCCCUCAAUGCAACCGGAAGCAGUUGCGUCAUAAUCACGUGGCAGUCAUGAGACUUUAGGUUCUGGAACUUUUUCUCUGGCAUAUUUAUUAUUCCCUUUAUAUUCGACGAGAAGCCAGUCGGGACCUUCAUACUGAGCAGGCAUUCAAAAAAGAUUUCUUUCUCUUCUUUCGUAAGAGCGUAGCUGGCAGGACCUUCAUACUGCUUUGGAGGCAUGUCGUCUUUUUCGUGCAAACGUUGCAGGUCCUCCCGUGCCUCAGGUGUAUCUUUUGUCUUCCCAUACACGCCCAAGAAACCUAGCAGGUUCACGCAAAGGUUCUUCGUCACGUGCAUCACGUCGAUUGAAGAGCAGACCUCUAGCUCUUUCCAGUAGGGUAGGUCCCAAAAUAUAGAUUUCUUCUUCCACAUGGGUGUGUGUCCCUCAGCGUCAUUCAGAACAGCUAGUCUGCCGGGAACCUUUCCAAAGAUUACGUGUAAAUCAUUGACCAUAGCAAGUACGUGAUCACCGGUAUGCAUGGUGGGCUUCUUCCGGUGAUCUGCCUCGCCUUUGAAAUGCUUGCCUUUCUUUCGACAUUGAUGGUUGGUCGGAAGAAAUCGACGAUGGCCCAGGUACACAUUCUUCCUGCAUUUGUCCAGGUAUAUACUUUCAGUGUCAUCUAGACAGUGCGUGCAUGCGUGGUAUCCCUUGUUUGUCUGUCCUAAAAGAUUACUGAGAGCGGGCCAAUCGUUGAUGGUUACAAACAGCAACACGUGCAGGUUAAAUUCCUCCUGUUUGUGCUCAUCCCACGUACGUACACCGUUUCCAUUCCACAGCUGUAAAAGUUCUUCAACUAAUGGCCUUAGGUACACAUCAAUGUCGUUGCCGGGUUGCUUAGGGCCUUGGAUGAGAACUGGCAUCAUAAUGAACUUCCGCUUCAUGCACAUCCAAGGAGGAAGGUUAUACAUACAUAGAGUCACGGGCCAGGUGCUGUGAUUGCUGCUCUGCUCCCCGAAAGGAUUAAUGUCAUCCGCUCUUAAACCAAACCAUUCGUUCCUUGGGUCAGCUGCAAACUCAUCCCAGUACUUUCUCUCGAUUUUUCUCCACUGCGACCCGUCAGCGGGUGCUCUCAACUUCCCGUCUUUCUUACGGUCCUCACUGUGCCAUCGCAUCAACUUGGCAUGCUCUUCGUUUCUGAACAGACAUUUCAACCAUGGUAUUAUAGGAGCAUACCACAUCACCUUCGCAGGAACCCUCUUCCUGGGGGGCUCGCCGUCAACAUCACCAGGGUCAUCUCGUCUGAUCUUAUACCGCAAUGCACCGCAUACCGGGCAUGCGUUCAGAUCCUUGUACGCACCGCGGUAGAGGAUGCAGUCAUUAGGGCAUGCAUGUGUCUUCUGCACCUCCAAUCCUAGAGGGCAUACGACCUUCUUUGCUGCGUAUGUACUGUCGGGCAAUUCAUUAUCCUUUGGAAGCUUCUUCUUCAAUAUUUUCAAUAGCUUCUCAAAUCCUUUGUCAGGCACAGCAUUCUCUGCCUUCCACUGCAGCAAUUCCAGUACGGUACCGAGCUUUGUGUUACCAUCUUCGCAAUUGGGGUACAACCCUUUUUUGUGAUCCUCUAACAUGCGAUCGAACUUCAGCUUCUCCUUUUGACUUUCGCAUUGCGUCCUUGCAUCGACAAUGACCCGGCGGAGAUCAUCAUCAUCGGGCACUGGUUCCUCUUGAUCUUCAGCAGCUUCCCCCCUUGCAGCAUCAUUGGGCACAUCGUCUGGUUCCUCUUGAUCUUCAGCAGCUUCCCCCGUUGCAGCAUCACCAUAUUCAGGGGGCACAUAGUUGUCAUCGUCCUCUUCUUCUUCGCCGUCUUCCAUCAUAACCCCUAUUUCUCCGUGCCUCGUCCAAACAUUAUAGUGUGGCAUGAAACCCUUGUAAAGCAGGUGGGUGUGAAGGAUUUUCCGGUUAGAGUAAGACUUCGUAUUCCCACAUGUAGGGCAUGACAACACAUAAAACCAUUCUGCUUGUUUGCCUCAGCCACUUCGAGAAAAUCAUGCACGCCCGUAAUGUACUCGGAGGUGUGUCUGUCACCGUACAUCCAUUGCCGGUUCAUCUGCAUGCAUUAUAUAUAAUUAAGUGUGUCAAAAACCAUUACAGAACAUCAUGAAUAGAUAAUUAAGUGACCAAAUUAAUAGAAGUUCAUCAUCACAUUAAAACCAAAGUACAUACAUAGUUCUCAUCUAACAACAUAUAUAUAGCUCUCCAGAGCAUCUAAUUAAUUAAACCAUACAUUGAAACUAUGUAAAACAUUGCAAUGCAAAAACAAAUGCGAUCAUAAUCGCAACCAAGGUAACAAUUGAUCCAACGGCAUAAUGAUACCAAGCCUCGGUAUGAAUGGCAUAUUUUCUAGUCUUUCUAAUCUUCAAGCGCAUUGCAUCCAUCUUGAUCUUGUGAUGAUCGACGACAUCCGCAACAUGCAACUCCAAUAUCAUCUUCUCCUCCUCAAUUUUUUUUAUUUUUUCCUUCAAGUAAUUGUUUUCUUCUUCAACUAAAUUUAACCUCUCGACAAUAGGGUCGGUUGGAAUUUCCGGUUCAACCACCUCCUAGAUAAAUAAAAUCUAUGUCACGUUGGUCGGCAUAUUUGUCAUAAACAAUAAAUGAACCAAAUAGUUAUAAAAAGAUAAUAUAUACCACAUCCGAAUCAUAGACAGGACGAGGGCCGACGGGGGCGGAUACCAAAACCAUCGCACUAUGUAAUAAGAAGGAAUAAUAAAAGUAACAAAAUUAGACAAGUAUCUAUCUAAAGUAAGAAUUUUUUUUCUUUCAGAAAGAAGAUAAGAACAAGAGGCUCACCACGGUGGUGCUGGCGACGAGAUCGGCGCGGGCGAUCGACGGCGGUGAAGACGGGGACGGGACAUGACGGACCGCUAAACCUAGACAAAUCUCGGGGAAAAUGGAGCUCGGAGGUCGAGUUUCGAGAGGAGAAAGAUUAACUAGUGUGGCUCAGACAUUUCAUCGAACACCACAUGUGCAUAGGAGGUGAUCUAGAGCACCCAAAUGCCCUCCCCUCGCCGGCCAGAAAAAACAGAGCACUGUGGAGUGCUCUGCUGUGGCGAUGGGGUAUAUAUAGGCAACUCAUUGGUCCCGGUUCGUGGCACCAACCGGGACUAAAGGGGGGGCAUUGGUCCCGGUUGGUGCCACGAACCGGUACGCAUGCCACCCUUUAGUCCCGGUUGGUGGCACCAACCGGGACCAAAGGCCUUGUGCUGCCCCGCGUCAAAAGUUUAGUCCCACCUCGCUAGUUGAGAGAGCUCGAGAGUGGUUUAUAAGCGCUGCUGCGCCCACCCUCUCGAGCUCCUCUCAACUGCAAGCUUUCGGGCCUAACCGUUCUCUUUGCCUGUGGGGCCUACUGGGCCUUCUGCGGGCCUGAAUCCUGGCCCAUGGAUGGGUUUCAAGUCGUAUUCAGGCCGUGGGGGCCCAGUAGGUGGCAUAAUUUUUUUCCCUGUUUUUUGUUUUCUCUUUUGCUUUAUUUAUUUUGUUUUGUUUCUACUUACAACAAAAAACUUAUUUAUUUUAUUCCAUUUUGUUUCUAAUUACUUAUGUAUUUUACUUUAUUUAUUUUAUUUUUAUUUAUUUUACUGCUGCUAUNNNNNNNNNNNNNNNNNNNNNNNNNNNNNNNNNNNNNNNNNNNNNNNNNNNNNNNNNNNNNNNNNNNNNNNNNNNNNNNNNNNNNNNNNNNNNNNNNNNNNNNNNNNNNNNNNNNNNNNNNNNNNNNNNNNNNNNNNNNNNNNNNNNNNNNNNNNNNNNNNNNNNNNNNNNNNNNNNNNNNNNNNNNNNNNNNNNNNNNNNNNNUGCUGCUAUUUUUAUUUAUUUUAUUAAGGUUUAUUUAUUUUAUUUAUUAUAGUUUAUUUUAUUUUAUUAAGGUUUAUUUAUUUUUAUUUAUUAUAGUUUAUUUUAUUUUAUUAAGGUUUAUUUAUUUUAUUUACUAUAAAAAAUGAACAUAGAUGCGCCUAUAGAGAAAAUUCAACCUAAAUUCAUAAUAAAUUUCUAUGAAAUUCAAAGAAAUUUACUCUGAAUUUAGGUCAAAUUCCCUGUAUAAGGGCAUCUAUUUUCAAUUUGAGAGGAGCUCAACAAGGCAGAGACGGACGGGCUAAUAAACCGGUGUGAGCGCCCUUCGGUUGGCGAGGUGGGACUAAACUCUGACCGCAACUAGGACCAACCCUUUAGUCCCGAUUUGUGGUAUGAACCGGGACUAAAGGGUGAGCCUCUGGUCCCGGUUCAAGCCACCAACCGGGACCAAUGGUGGUGGGCCAGGAGCGAGGCCCAUUGGUCCCGGUUUGUCCCACCAACCGGGACCAAAGGGGCCGGACAAACCGGGACCAAUGCCCCCACGAGGCCCGGCAGGCCCCUGGCCGCACGAACCGGGACCAAUGCUCACAUUAGUCCCGGUUCGUGACUGAACCGGGACUAAUGUGAAUAUUGCCCUGUGACCAAAGCCCAGUUUUCUACUAGUGACCAUAGCCUCUCCGAUGAUGUGUGAGUAGUUUACCAUAGACCUUCGGGUCCAUAGUUAUUAGCUAGAUGGCUUCUUCUCUCUCUUUGGAUCUCAAUACAAAGUUCUCCUCGAUCUUCUUGGAGAUCUAUUCGAUGUAAUACUUUUUGCGGUGUGUUUGUCGAGAUCCGAUGAAUUGUGGGUUUAUGAUCAAGUUUAGCUAUGAACAUUAUUUGAAUCUUCUCUGAAUUCUUAUAUGCAUGAUUUGAUAUCUUUGCAAGUCUCUUCGAAUUAUCAGUUCAGUUUGGCCUACUAGAUUGAUCUUUCUUGCAAUGGGAGAAGUGCUUAGCUUUGGGUUCAAUCUUGCGGUGUCCUUUCCCAGUGAUAGCAGGGGCAGCAAGGCACGCAUUGUAUUGUUGCCAUCGAGGAUAAAAAGAUGGGGUUUAUAUCAUAUUGCUUGAGUUUAUCCCUCUACAUCAUGUCAUCUUGCCUAAUGCGUUACUCUGUUCUUAUGAACUUAAUAGUCUAGAUGCCUGCUGGAUAGCGGUCGAUGUGUGGAGUAAUAGUAGUAGAUGCAGAAUUGUUUCGAUCUACAUGACACGGACGUGAUGCCUAUAUACAUGAUCAUGCCUAGAUAUUCUCAUAACUAUGCACUUUUCUAUCAAUUGCUCGACAGUAAUUUGUUCACCCACCGUAAAAUAUGCUAUCUUGAGAGAAGCCACUAGUGAAACCUAUGGCCCCCGGGUCUAUCUUCCAUCAUAUUAAUCUCCCGCAAACGUGCUAUUUCUAUCGCCAUUUAUUUUGCAAUCUUUACUUUUCAAUCUAUACAACAAAAAUACCAAAAAUAUUUAUCUUAUUAUCUCUAUCAGAUCUCACUUUUGCAAGUGGUCGUGAAGGGAUUGACAACCCCUUUAUUGCGUUGGUUGCAAGGUUCUUAAUUUUUUGUGCAGGUACUAGGGAUUUGUGUGUGGAUUGAUACCUUGGUUCUCAAAAACUGAGGGAAAUACUUACGCUAGUUUGCUGCAUCACCCUUUCCUCUUCAAGGGAAAACCAAUGCAUGCUCAACAGGUAGCACUGUGCUGCAUCAUCCCUUCCUCUUUGGGGAAAUACUGACGUAGUUCAAGCCGCAUCAGUAGUACUGCUCCUUGCUACCUCUUGAGCAUGCGUUGGUUUUCUCUUGAAGAGGAAAGGGUGAUGCAGCAAAGUAGCGUAAGUAUUUCCCUCAGUUUUUGAGAACCAAGGUAUCAAUCCAGUAGGAUAUUACACGCAAAUCCCUAGUACCUCCACAAACAAUUAAGAAACUUGCAACCAACGCGAAAAAGGGGUUGUCAAUCCCUUCACGGCCACUUGCAAAAGUGAGAUAUGAUAAAGAUAGUAAGAUAAAUAUUUUUGGUAUUUUUGUUGUAUAGAUUGAAAAGUAAAGAUUGCAAAAUAAACAGCGACAGAAAUAGCUAGUUGUUGGGAGAUUAAUAUGAUGGAAAAUAGACCCGGGGGCCAUAGGUUUCACUAGUGGCUUCUCUCAAGAUAGCAUAUAUUAUGAUGGGUGAACAAAUUACUGCCGAGCAAUUGAUAGAAAAGCGCAUAGUUAUGAGAAUAUCUAGGCAUGAUCAUGUAUAUAGGCAUCACGUCCGUGUCAAGUAGACCGAAACGAUUCUGCAUCUACUACUAUUACUCCACACAUCGACCGCUAUCCAGCAUGCAUCUAGAGUAUUAAGUUCAUGAGAACAGAGUAACGCAUUAGGCAAGAUGACAUGAUGUAGAGGGAUAAACUCAAGCAAUAUGAUAUAAACCCCAUCUUUUUAUCCUCGAUGACAACAAUACAAUACGUGCCUUGCUGCCCCUACUGUCACUGGGAAAGGACACCGCAAGAUUGAACCCAAAGCUAAGUACUUCUCCCAUUGCAAGAAAGAUCAAUCUAGUAGGCCAAACCAAACUGAUAAUUCGAAGAGACUUGCAAAGAUAUCAAAUCAUGCAUAUAAGAAUUCAGAGAAGAAUCAAAUAUUGUUCAUAGAUAAUCUUGAUCAUAAACCCACAAUUCAUCGGAUCUCGACAAACACACCGCCAAAAGUAUUACAUCGAAUAGAUCUCCAAGAAGAUCGAGGAGAACUUUGUAUUGAGAUCCAAAGAGAGAGAAGAAGCCAUCUAGCUAAUAACUAUGGACCCGAAGGUCUGUGGUAAACUACUCACACAUCAUCGGAGAGGCUAUGGUGUUGAUGUAUAAGCCCUCCGUGAUCAAUUCCCCCUCCGGCAUAGCGCCGGAGAAGGCCCCAAGAUGGGAUCUCACGGGUACAGAAGGUUGCGGCGGUGGAAAUAGGGUUUUGUGGUGCUCCUGGAUGUUUUCAGGGUAUAGGAGUAUAUAUAGGUGAAAGAAGUAGGUCGGUAGAGCUGCGAGGGGUCCACGAGGGUGGGGGCACGCCUACCCCCCUGGGGCGCGCCUCCCUGCCUCGUGGCUUCCUCGCUGCUUCCUUGACUUCCACUCCAAGUCUCCUGGAUUGGGUUUUUUCCAAAAAUGAUCCUCGCGAAGGUUUCAUUCCGUUUGAUAUUCCUUUUAUGUAAAACACUGAAAUAGGCAAAAAACAGCAAUUUUCACUAGGCCUCCGGUUAGUAGGUUAGUCCUAAAAAUAAUAUAAAAGUGCAUAUUAAAGCCCAUUAAACAUCCAAAACAGAUUAUAUAAUAGCAUGGAACAAUCAAAAUUUAUAGAUACGUUAGAGACGUAUCACUCCUCCGAGCGGUAGUACCGCUUGUGCACGACCUGAGUGCAUAACAGUUGGAUUCGGGAGGUCCUACAAAAGGGGGUCUUCUUCCCCAUUGAACCUUAUCCUCAAGCUCGUGUUCUUCCCCCAUUGUUGACCUUCUUCGAGCUUGCUAUCUCUCAAUCCCUCCAUGGAUUCUUGCUAGUUUUUUGGGGGGGGGAGGGGGGAGAGAGGAGAUCUAGAUCCACAUUUCCACCAAUCACUUUCUGAGUGAGGGGAACCCCUUGGAUCUUGGAGUUCUUGGUGUUGUCCUUCUUGUUCUUCCUCUUAUUUUCCUCCAUAGCAUUCGUUGCUUUGGUGGGAUUUGAGAGUGAGGGACUUGGGCACUCUGUGUGCCCUUGCCAUUACAUUUGGUGCAUAGGUUUGAGUUCUCUAGGGUGAUAUGUGGAAGUUACAAGUUGAGAAGCUAUUACUCUUGGGUGCUUGGUACCCUUGAGCUUGUUCCUCUUUGGUGCUUGGGCGUCCUAGACAGUUUGUGGUGCUUCAGAGCUCAAUCAUUGUGGUAUAAAGCUUCGGGCAAGCGUCGGGGUCUCCAAUUAGGUUGUGGAGAUUGCCCUGAGCAAUUUGACGGGUACCAGUGACCGCCCCCAAGGGUUGCCAAACUAUACGGGUUCGGUGACCGUCCCAAGGGUUGCCAUUUGUACGAGUUCGGUGACCGCCCUCAAGGGUCCCUUAGUGGAAUCACGGCAUCUUGCAUUGUGCGAGGGCGUGAGAAGAUUAUGGUGGCCCUAGUGGCUUGUUGGGGAGCAUUAUGCCUCCACACCGCUCCAAACGGAGAUUAGCAUCCGCAAGGGUGUGACCUUCAGGAUACAUCAUCGUCUCCGCGUGCCUCGGUUAUCUCUUACCCGAGCCCUUCACUUGUGCACUUUACUUUGUGAAAGCCAUCGUGUUUCAUGUUAUAUAUCUUGCUAUCACAUAGUUGUUUAUCUUCCUUAGCAUAAGUUGUUGGUGCACAUAGGUGAGCCUAGUUGUUGUAGGUUUUGUGCUUGACAAAUUAACCGCUAGGUUUAUUCCGCAUUUGUUCAAGCCUAAACCGUAAUUAUUUUAAAGCGCCUAUUCACCCCCCCUCUAGGCGACAUCCUCGAUCUUUCAACCAGGAGACGACGGCAGAUCAAAAGAUGGCAUAUUCUUUGUUUUCAAAUUAUACCAUGAGUAUAAAUUGUUCUCCUCUCCACAUUUUCUCAUUUUCAUGAUUACUAAAAUGGUAGGCAGCAGACUAGAAGUAUGCAUGUGCCUGUUCUUAUUAGUUCGAAUCAAUCAUCCUUAUCUUUUGGGAUCCAUUUAUUGUUAGACUAUUGAAAUAUUAUUUCAUGUGCUUGCUAAAUUAAUAAGUCGCCACACGAAGGGAGUUGUGCGUAUACUGGGUCGUAGUUGAAUUAGUUUAGUGUCAAUUCUAUGAACAAUGUCAACUAUGCCUUCCUAGAAAGAUACUUCUUUGGGUUGAUUUAUCAUACUUUCAGUAAGGGUUUCAAAUUUCCUACUUACAUUGGUUCAGUCCCUCUGACGGCUAGAGAAGGAAAUCCUGCAUGAAACUGUUUGACGGCUUUGAAGUAUUUAUAUUGAAGAUUAUGGAGAUCAUUUUGGUUGAGAACUAGAACUGAAUUAAGCUACAAAUACGCUACAACACUUGGUGUAGGAUUCAACAUAUCGGACAAAAUGGUAGAUGUUAGUUAUUUAAGGUGGAUGGUCCACUAAAAUUAGAUGAUUCAUUAUUGGCCAGCCGCAUGUUUUGUUAGUCGAUUGGGUAUAGGGGUCAUUCAAAAAAAUAGAUGAUAGAGGAAAAUCUUACCCUGUAGUAAGUUUGAGACAGUUUCUCUAAUUAUUUGCAAACAUUUGAGAUGCUUAGGGACCUUUAUGGGAUGAGCCCCUGUGAAUUUUAAAUAGUCAACAUUUUUGGUCAAUAUUUCAUAGCACAAUACCACACAGAUAAUUGGUCCUGCCUUUUCAUAUAUAAUUGGUAGUUUUUGCUUCAGCAGUGAACUUUUUGCCUUCUUACGAAUUACCGGUAUGCAAAUCUAGGCACGAUCCCCUUAUCUUGUAGCGGCUCGGCAAGGAUAAGUGGUCGUGUCUUGCAAUGUAAAAGGCUAGAGUGGCCGACGCCGAUCAGACUGCACUGGCGGGCAGUUCCAAGGCCCACCUAAGCUCCUCCUUUUGGUGAUUUUAGCCGAUGAGUUUUGUUGACCUCACUCUAUGAAACAAAUUAGUUAUGCAUGCUGCACCCUGAUACAUCCAUUUUGCAUCAUGUUUUCCUACUGUUAUUUAUAAUGUUUUAUGCAUAAUAAUGCUUUUUGGAGUAAUUCUAAUGCCUUUUCUCUCAUAAUAUGCAAGGUUCACAGAAAGAGGGAGAAUUCCGGCAGCCCAGGCAUGCCAUGGUGGGUUGUGCCCUCCUCGGCCCACCUCUAGUGCCUAUCUUCUAGUAUAUAAGUCAUUUUGACCUAGAAAAAAUCAGGAGAGGACUUUCGGGACGAAGCACCGCCAUCUUGAGGCGGAACUUGGGCAUGAGCACUUUUGCCCUCCGGUGGAGCGAUUCCGCCAGGGGAAAUUCCCUCCCGGAGGGGGAAAUCAUCAUCAUCACCAACAAAUCUCCCAUCUUGGGGAGGGCAAUCUCCUUCAACAUCUUCAACGACACCAUCUCCUCUCAAACCCUAGUUCAUCUCUUGUGUUCAAUCUUUGUACUGGAACUAUAGAUUGGUACUUGUGGGUGACUAGUAGUGUUGAUUACAUCUUGUAGUUGAUUACUAUAUGGUUUAUUUGGUGGAAGACUAUAUGUUCAGAUCCAUUAUGCUAUUUAAUACCCCUCUGAUCUUGAGCAUGAUUAUCAUUUCUGAGUAGUUACUUUUGUUUUUGAGGUCACGGGAGAAAUCUUGUUGCAAGUAAUCAUGUGAACUUGAUAUGUGUUUGAUAUUUUGAUGAUAUGUAUGUUGUGAUUCCCUUAGUGGUGUCAUGUGAACGUCGACUACAUGACACUUCACCAUAAUUGGGUCUAAGGGAAUGCAUUGUGGAGUAGUUAUUAGAUGAUGGGUUGCGAGAGUGACAGAAGCUUAAACCCUAGUUUAUGCACUAUUCCGUAAGGGACUGAUUUGGAUCCAAAAGUUUAAUGCUAUGGUUAGAUUUAUUCUUAAUACUUUUCUCAUAGUUGCGGAUGCUUGAGAGGGGGUAAUCAUAAGUAGGAGGUUUGUUCAAGUAAGAACAUCACCUAAGCACCGGUCCACCCACAUAUCAAAUUAUCAAAGUAGCGAACACAAAUGAAACCAACGUGAUGAAAGUGACUAGAUGAAAUUCUCGUGUACCCUCAAGAACGCUUUGCUUAUCAUAAGAGACCGUUUUGGCCUGUCCUUUGCCUCAAAAGGAUUGGGCUACCUUGCUGCACUUUUGUUACCGUUGACGUUACUUGCUCGUUACAAAUUACCUUGCUAUCAAACUACUCGUUACUUACAAUUUCAGUGCUUGCAAACAUUACCUUGCUGAAAACCGCUUGUCAUUUCCUUCUGCUCCUCAUUGGGUUCGACACUCUUACUUAUCGAAAGGACUACGAUUGAUCCCCUAUACUUGUGGGUCAUCACACCCGUGGAUUAGGAUAUGAAACUGAUGCUCCUACUAUGGUUUUACUUUCUGUUUUUUUCCUUUCAUCACGCCAUUAUUUCAGUUUGACUUUUAUGAACAACCAGAUUAAUAUUUUAGAUGCAGUGUGCAUAUAUAAUUAGCUCUCUAUCUUUAAUUUGAGUCUCUUCCUCCUUUUCUCCCGCUGCUCCACCCCCUUUUGUUGUAGCGCUUUGUUGGUAUCACAUUCUGCAUGUGCCAACGAAUACAUCUUUCAUCAGUAUUCACAUAUGGUUGAGAUGAAAGGUUACAUUUGAUAUUAUCUAGCUCCACUAAGAAAUUUCCGCUCCAGUAUUUUUUGUGCAAUGCUUGCAUUGCCAUAUUUUUUGUAACUAUUUUUGCCCCAAAGGUUUAUAAAUGAAAUGAUUUUCUUUCUGUUUGGAUGAGGUGGUCAGGCAUUUUGUUGUCUAUUUUAUAGCAAAAUCUCCUUGCAAAGUGUUGAUCGGGAGACAAAUUUGUUUCUUGUUCAUACAUGUACAUAAUUGUCUCGGAAAUCAGGGAAGUCAUAAGCGUGUAAUGUGCAUGUUUUUACGUACCAUAAAAAUGAUCCAAACUACUAUUGGAUCCUCUAGGGCUGGAACAUGUGUGGGGACAGGCUACACGCAACAAACCACACUUCCUGUGUGUUGAGAUGAGGUUGUAGGUUCUGUAUGUUGUUCAAUCUUUUUAAUAAGGUUGCUACUCCGAGAUGCAUCGGGUGAUAGUGCCAAUGGUAGCCCUUGCUCAGUUUGAUGUACUAGACGAAAAAGGUAACUGCAUAACUAUCUUUGCAAUUGUUCGUGCAGACAUCAGAGAUGCCUGAUUUCUACAAGGAUGGUGAAUAUGAGAGAUGUCCUGAUUGGUCUUCCCUCCAGUGGUAUCCAACUCCAUUUGCUUAACAUCCAUAUAGAUUCUUGAGAGUGCUAAUUGUGUUCUCAUGUCAGUGGUGCUUUCCUUUGAUUGCAGUUAUUAUUUCUGGUUAAUGAUAAUUAUUAUGUUCAUUGGUAAAUGCAUAUGAGCAAUGAGCUUGGGCAGAUUGUUAUUCUGGUGUUGGUUUGCUUGAUCUAAAUAUAUGAUUUAUUGAUCUGUUCUUUAGUUGAUACUACCUUUGUGUGGGUUUAUUAGUUCCCCUCGCAUUUGGGUCAAAUUUUGACCAUAGAUUUAACUAGCAAGAUAUAAUUUAUAUGUAACAAAAAUAAUAUCAUUGGAAAGUUCUUUCAAAUAAGACUCUACCAAUAUAAUUUUUAUGUCAUAUAACUUAUGUUUUUCUAAUCAAAUCAUAUGUCUGUGUUUGUGUGUGAGAGUGCUCUUCUUUCAAUCGUCUUGGCUUGCACGUUGCCGCUGGAGUCGUACAAGGUCAUGACUUACCUUACCUGGUGAGGUACUGGCUAGGAAGAGCACAAGCCGCCGCUGCCACGCACCAAAUGGUACCGUCAAGGACGUCGUCGUGUUGACUGUCGAUGAUCUACACGUCCAUCUCUCCUUCUCUUCCUCUCUCUCAAAUGUCAAGCUCGACUCCUUAUUUUGCACAAUGGGUGGACUGAAAGCCACUUGACCGGAAUCCCGUGUCUUGUGAUAUGACGGGCAUACAUUUGCUUUUCUUUGAUAUUUUUCUGCUUUGUAUUUGUUUAUGGAUAAGAAAAAAUAUGAUUAAGAUUGUUGCAUUGCAUAUGGUUGCAUUCCAUUGAUGAUAAAUGGCGAACAACUAUGGUAUUUUUCCGACUUAACUACAUAAUGUUGCCCUGUGCUGAGCUCAAAUACAUAUGUCACUCCAGCGUCUUCCUUUCUACUCCAUAUAUCGUUCUGGUAUGUAAUGAUGAGGCGGAAUAUGUAUAAAUUGUAGUCCCAGCACUAGGAGACUAGAUUGUUCUUACUUCAGAUGGAUGUUAUUUGAUUAUGUAUUUGUUGGGAAAUGUUUCUUCAACAGUCAACUGGACGUUGUUGUGCAAUCUAGCAAUCAUGUUCAUGUCAUCUUGGAUUUUCGAUCCACUUUUGUUUCUGAUCAGGCUAACCAAUGUCGCUGUCAAUGGCUUAUGAUAUAGCACUCCUGAUAGAAGCUUGAUUGUUAAUACUUUCAAAAAACUGGAUCAGGCACAAUGUUAAAAGGACUAUAAAUCUGAUGGUUCAGUUUCACAUGCAAUCGACUUCUGUAUUUGUUUUUCCUAUUUAUGCACUAUAUCACUACUAGGGAAAACCCUAGCAGUAGCGCGUGUUUAAAGCCUAUCAGUAGCGCGGGGUGCAACGCUACUAGUAAGGCGCUACAGCUAAAGGUUAGCAGUAGCGUGGGUUGGACCACGCUACUGCUAUAUCGACUUAGUAGCAGCGCUUUGUACUAUGAGCGCUACUGGUAAUUAGUAGUAGCGCUUCUCCUAGCACGCGCUACUACUAUUAUUCUGUAUUUCUUUUUUAUUUCAUGUUGUAUUCAUACACCUUUAUACAAGUUUUCAUACCCCAGCAAUUUAGAGAAUGAUUUUACAUCAUAAUGAGUUAUUACAUCACUAGGAGAAAGAAACGUGGACUAGUUUCAAGUGGAUGGACAUCCACUUGAAACUAAUCCGCGGUUCUUUCACCCAAUGAUAUAAUAUAUCAUCAUCAUCAUCAUAUCAUUAACAACUUAUCAUCAUAAUACAUCAUUGUCAUAUAACACCUCCUCAUGAUCAUCGUUUUCAUCAAUGAGACAUCACAUACAGGUUGGUCACUAGACAUAAUCACAACUACUACUCAUCAUCAUCAACUCUCAUAAACAUAUUGUACCUCACAGGACCUACUACAUUCUCUUAGGACCUACUAUAUUAUCUUAGGUAAAAUAGCAUAAAACAAGAUAGCCCCUGACUCUCCAUUAUGGAGAAUGGAGAUUAUCCUGUCUCCAAUUCUUGCCUUUCGCACAAUGUUGCUUCCAAGAACCUCCUUACGACUGUCCAUACAUUUUUUCCAUUCUUUGAUUCUCAUGUGUUCACCGGUUUUAGAAAUCCGGUAUGGACACGUGAGAUUCGUAGGACGACCUGGUUGUAUGUUCAAAACAUCAAGGCGACCAUUCUGAUACAUCAAAUGAGGCACACAAUCCAUCGGGAUUUUCUGUUGAAAAACAUAGUAAUAACUUCGUAGUUAGCAAUGUAGUUCAGUUUUAGAAGUAUGCAAAAGAUGCACGGAUGUCGUAAUAGUAAAAAAUCUUACCAGGAUAUCUCCAUGGAAGUUAUCGUGGUUCAACACGUGCACUAGUGGCACGUAUUGACCAUAAUUUGGAGGAGUUCGAUAAAGGCAUUGUAAUUCUCAAGAUCAGUACAAUAUGCGACCAGAUGACUUUUCUCCUGAUAAGUUAACUCAGAGCCAUCGGUGUAGUUGGUUCUGUCUACCAUCUUCCGCACAUUCUUUGAAGAAUGAAAGUAAGCUAUCAAUGGAAAUAAGUUGUCAACUAUUUUGAAAUAAACAAUAUAAAUUACUUAAUAACUAUGUUUGAGGAACUCACAUAGCGUUAGAAUUGGAAGCGUAUCAACAAGGACCCAAAUGUCCAAAUUGUCUUGGUCGAUGUCAGGAUCACGAACAUCCAUGGUGACAAACAUACCCUCUUGAAAAUCAUACAUCUUGCAAAGUGCUUCCCAACCCGAGCAACCAAAAUGGGAUACGCUCUCAGAAUUGUAUAGAUUUACCUCAAAAUCCAUACCAUGAUGGGUCCUUAGGUUAAUUUUCUUUGUUUCAUUCCUCUCAUGAUCUUCAAAACCCAUCCCCUCCAAGACAUAGCGUCUUACAUGGCAUGGGAUAUGCUAGUCGAAUUGUAAAAGACGAAAAUUACACGUUGAAGUAGUAGAAGUCGAGCUUAAUUACGAAAAAAAACUUUGCGUCGUAGCUUACCGCAUCACAAUCGAAGGCCUCCUCGAGCUUAAUGCUGAAGCGCCGACCUUCAUCCAGGUGAGGCCUAUCGCAGAAACCCCGGUUGUCGCCACACCAGGAGCACUCCCCGGGACCUUCUUCGUCCGACGACAUUUCCUAUGUUCAUAAUUCAAAGAUUAAACUUGUACAAUUAAAACUCUCAGCUUGUUCAUUAUUCAUCACGGGUUGACUAUCGGUCUGUCGAGUCUUUUCUUGAAAAAUCUCAGCUCACGUGGUGUAUAUAUUCGACCGUCGGUGAUGGUAGCUCCUCCUUUCGUUUCCGAGUGCAUUACACCAAAUUGUCUAGCACACGAGAACGAAGGAGAAGCUACCCCCACGACAACAGUCGGGAUUCUUCGUCCUCUCAUAUAUGGUGGAGACUCUCCCUCACUGAUUCCUCUCUGACAUUUGCGACCGCCGGUGAUGGUCGUUACUCCUCCUUCCCCUAGUGCAUAACAAAGGUCUAGCACCCGGAGAAGAAGGAGAAACGACCCCCACGACAACAGUCGGGAUUCUUAGGCCUCGACAGACUUAAAGCCAACCCGAAAUAUCGUUAAUUAUCUUUCUAGAAAAUCCAGGCCACUCGAUAUUUCCUACAUAUUCUAGCACAAGUCAUGCCAAAAUUCACGGAAAAUUCCGGCAUGACCUUUGCUAAAACAGGACAUAUCGAGCACCUGAAAUUUGCCGGAACGGAAAUUAAUCAACACUCCGGCAAAACAUAGGCCACUCGGAGGUGUAACCUGAACAUGACCGGCCACGUGGGCAACCACAUAUCCUAUUUGAGCAACACAAGAUAUACAUGUUUUUAUGUACAUCAUAUCUUAUAGGACUCAUAUUGACAUGGAGAUUUGGCUGGUCUCACCUCGAGGUCGGAGGGGAUCGGUGACGGGGACGACGGUAGGGAUGAUGGAGGGGCUCCUUGAUUUCUGCAAAAACAAAAACCGUAUAAGUUAUCACUAAUUACAUCCCGAAUAGUAUCAUACAGAUAGCAUCACUAAUACAACUAAAACCCUAGCGAUCGACGGGUAUCGACGACGAGGAUGCGGGAUAGGCAUCGUCGACGUUGAUGCGGGAAUAAUUGCUUAAACUAAAAAAAUAAAACCAAAUGUGACAUGUUCAACUAGUUCUAUUAAUUCAACUAGUUCUUACUAAAUAUAAACUUACUAUAAAUAGAAAUAAACUAGUUCUUUCUAAAAAUAAACUAGUUAUAUUAAUUUUCUUACUAAAAAUACAUUAAUUCUAUUAAUUCAACUAGUUCUUACUAAAACUAAACUAGUUCAACUAGUUUAUUAAUUUACUUACUAAUUAUUUUAAACACUUACUAAAAACAGUAAAAAAACUACAUUAUACAAUAGUAAAAAACUACAGUGAAAAACAGAAAAAAAAAGAGAUGGAGGGAGGAGGGGAAGGGAGGAGGAAGGAGAGAGGAGGAGGGGGAGGAGGCCGGUGGGAUCNNNNNNNNNNNNNNNNNNNNNNNNNNNNNNNNNNNNNNNNNNNNNNNNNNNNNNNNNNNNNNNNNNNNNNNNNNNNNNNNNNNNNNNNNNNNNNNNNNNNNNNNNNNNNNNNNNNNNNNNNNNNNNNNNNNNNNNNNNNNNNNNNNNNNNNNNNNNNNNNNNNNNNNNNNNNNNNNNNNNNNNNNNNNNNNNNNNNNNNNNNNNNNNNNNNNNNNNNNNNNNNNNNNNNNNNNNNNNNNNNNNNNNNNNNNNNNNNNNNNNNNNNNNNNNNNNNNNNNNNNNNNNNNNNNNNNNNNNNNNNNNNNNNNNNNNNNNNNNNNNNNNNNNNNNNNNNNNNNNNNNNNNNNNNNNNNNNNNNNNNNNNNNNNNNNNNGGGGGCGGACGAAGGAGGAGGAGGGAGAGGGGCGGUGGGAGAAGGGCGGCCGGAGGAGGAGGGGGAGGAGGGAGAGGAGGAGGGAGGAGGGAGUACCUCGGCGAGGAGCAGCGCGGCGGCGGCGGACGACGUACGGGUUCGGCGCGGGCGAGAGCGAGUGAGAGGGAGUGAGUGUGAGAGGGUGAACUGCUUCAGGAUAAGGUAAGUAAGUAGUAGCGCGUUUCAGAGAAACACGCUACUGCUACGGGCCGUAGCAGUAGCGCUGGUCAGUGGUACGCGUUACUGCUAAGUGGGGCUAGCCAUCUGCGCCCAGUACAAAUAUAGCAGCAGCGCGGUUUCGCAGAACACGCUGCUGCUAAAGUAGUAGCAGUAGCGCGGUCUAUUUAAAAACGCUACUACUAAGUAGCAGUAGCGCCCUAUUUUGUCCAGCGCUACUGCUAAGAUGUUGUGUAUAAGGUUUUUCCUAGUAGUGUAUAUGCUAUAUGACCUUGGCACGUGUUGUUACGAAAUGCAAGAUGGUUUGGUCAAAGGUUCACACCACAGUGACUGCAGGAGCAGGCUUCGCCUCAUGCGCUCUCCCCACCCCUUUUACAUGCUGAUGACCGCUUGCCACAUCAAUGCUGAGGGAGAGGGGGGGAUAUGGUGAGUGACAAUCUGCUCCCAUUUAAUUAUCUUUGGUUGCUCCAUUAUAGAUCUCCUACCCUUGGAAGUGGUGUUCUAUUGUUCUAUUCAUGACAAUUUACAUGAUUACAAGUAUGUUGGCUAACAUGAUAUAUCCUUAAGCAGAUUUGUGCAUCACAACACACAAGUAAAUUGGAUGGCAGGCGUCUCUAUAGAGAUAUCUAUGUAGUUUUCUACCAUAUAGUUUAAUGUUGUAUCGUAUAAAAGCAUGUUAUGUUGUGUAAAAACAGUGUACAUAAGUUAUCCAGAACCACCACUAUGGCGCCUUUUUUGUGUUGUACUGAACCUCUAUACUUUUGGUAUCAUGCUACACAUUUAUAUAAAAUGCAUCAAUGACGCGUAAUGAAUCUUCAUGCUUUGGACUUUUGCGUCAUGUGUAACAUAUAUUUUAAUUUAUCAGGUUGGAUAUGACAAAAUGAAGUUGCAUUCCUAUAAUACUAUAUCAUCUUACAUACCGCGUCUAUCAAAAGCCUGAAUAUGUUUCCGAUUUGUAUGUAAGACACGCUUCGUCUUACGCCUUUUAUAAGCGAGAAGCCUGAAUUUCUGCUUUCUUUUGGUAGACCCGGUAUGUAAUAACGAAUCACAUUGAUCUCUGUCUAAAUAGAUGAAACUUGGUACUGAGUUAUUACUUUAUUUACCUAUAAUAUGGUAUGUAAUGACAAGAAAGUUGAGAACUACGUAAUUUCUACUUCGUAUGUCUGUAUGUUGUUUAACUAUAUGUUUGUUGGCGAGUGUUUCUUAAAUAGUUAGCUGGUCCCUGCCGUGUAAUCUGGUGAGCCUUUUGAUGCUCUCUUCAAUUUUCGAUCUAUUAUUUGUGUCUGAAUGAGCUUACCGAUGCUGCUACUAAAUACUUAUGUACAUGGCAACUCUAAUAGAGUUUUUUUUGCGCGGUAACUAUAAUAGAGUUUCAACCUGGAUCAGGUGCAAUGUUAAAUGACUGUAAAUUCGAUUGUUUAAGACAACUACAUGUGCUAUUUUUAUAUUUGCAAUGCUUCAAUGACUGCAUUACCGGGUUAGAUAUGACUAUACCAGGCAGCACCGGCAAGCCGCACUCCCUACCUAGUUAUCACGUAUACGCAGCUCACGACAUGCCGAGGUCGUAGUUUUUCAAUCAUUUGGCGUGAAUGUCUAUUUUCAUCAUAGGUGUGACUAUCCGCGUCCAGUUGACCUACCCAAUGAAAUCCAUAAAUGAUUUCGGCAAAAGACUUGCCUAAGAGAAUCACAACUAAAUUUGAAACCAAAUGAAACUAGAGAAAUUUGAAAGAACUCUAUAGUCAAGAACACGGGAGAAGUAAAGUGAAUGGAGACAUUUUGGCAGUUUAGAAAAUACCUCUACAAGGGCUCCUCCUCCUCCUCCUCCUCCUCCUCCUCCAAGAAAGGAAGUUAGGGUUCGUGCCUCUCGCCGGCGCAGGCGCAGGUCCGCCUCGUCUUCGGUGGCCCUAGGGCCAUGGAGGCGCGGUGGAUCCUGGCAAGGGCCGGCGGGAGGGUUCCGUUUUUAGUCGUUUUAUUCAAUCUUGUUAGGGUUUGUGCCCUACUCAAGAAGGCGAGACGGCGGCGGCUCCCUGAAGAUGGAAUAAAGGUCUCCCCGCCUAGCCCCGUUCCGGCGGUGCGUCUAGCAUCGUUGGUGGGCGUGUGGAGGUGUGUCUCCGGCAGAUCUAUCUUUGGUGGAUUUGCUCGGAUCUCGUCAUUGUUCGUCUACGUUCGUGUGUCUUCGGUUUGGAUCCUUCCGAUCUACGUUAUUUUUAAUCAGCGGCGGUUCCUGCUCUGGGGUGCUGGUCCUAUGGGGUCUUAGCACGACGACUUCCCGACUGUCUACUACAACAAGUUGUGCCUGGCUCCGGUGAUGGAGGGGCGAUGACCGCGGCGCGCCUUCGGCUCGCUUCGGUGCUUGUAGUCGUCGCUAGGUGGUCUACGGAUCUGGAUGUAAUUUUUAUUUCUGGUGUUCGUUGUACUGCCAUGAUUGAAGAUCAAUAGAUUGGAAGUUUUUCUGAAAAAAAAAAGAACACGGGAGAAGUAACAAAAGAGCUGCUGGAAUGAGCUGCCCCUUCUUCCAAUUUUUCUUUAACGGGCUUCUUCAGUUUUAUCUCGUAAUCACGCUCCUUGUAAUGUAGAAACCAUAUAGUGAGGGGACUUUUUUUUCUUCCCAUUUUCAUAUAGCAGUUUUCAGGCAUUUUGGAAAAAGCAAAGUCGAAUAAUAAUCGGAAAAAAAAUCCCAUAAUAAAUCUCAAAAAGUUUUUUUUUUUUUGAGACAAUCAAAAAGUGGACCAAGCAAUACCACUUGCCGCUGCGCACAUGCAGCCCAUAACGAGAAACGAGGUCCAGUACGUAGUUCAACUCGGCCCGGUCCAGCACACGCAUAUCGGGUUCUCAUUCCGUCGCCGCACCGCAUCGUCUCUGAUCGCUGACCUCCCUCGCCGUCCAUCGCCGCAACUGCAAAACCCUCCUCGCCGUUACCCCCGCGACCAUCCAUGGCCACCUCGACCCGAGCACCGCUCCCGCCGUCCGACCCCGAGAAGGAGAAGCCGCUCGCCCGCUCCGCACCGGCAACCGCUCCCGCGUACCUCGCGAAUCCAGGUCCAAUCUCCGUAGCCGACGACCCCCUGGAGGCGCAGUUUCUUUCACCGUCUCUACCGUCUUUGAUUUUGGCGUCAUUGCAGGGAAGAAGACGCACCGCCGGGUGCCGAUGACGGACGAGGAGCGGGGGAGGAUCAACCGCCUGAAGGAGCUGCACGCGUCAGGGAUCGAGGAGCUGCACGAGCUGAUGGAGAUACAUAAGGAGCUGCGCGACUACCACGACGAGCUUCUGUUCCGGCGGAGGUGCCUGGCCGCACGCCUGGUCAGCCGGAUCGCCUUCCAGCGCCGCGACGCCGCCUAUAUCAGGCAUCAGCUUGGCCUUGGCCUGAAGGUGGGGGAUAAGCUGCCGGAGGAGCUCAAGCAGUCCAGGCCGCCGAUCUCGAUGGCCCUUUUCUUGUGGCAUGAAAUGGGCAGGGCCUUGUACAUCGGCAUGGAUAACUUCAUGGAUGAGUACAGCAACACCGAGGAGUACCGGAGAGGGAUGCUGGCGUUGGUGCCCGGGGCUGUCCCUGAUGAGAACGGAGCCCCGCCAGAUUGUGUUGCCCCCCAAGAGUAGGAAUUGAUCGAGUCUGUUUGCUUGGUGUGGAUGAGUACUUGUUUAAUCCUGAGAACGAAAUGUUGCUAUGUUCAGGUUCAGGGUGACUACUUGUUUGAUUCUAUUUUGUUGAGGAUGAUUUUUUUUAUGGCUCGAGUGCUUCAACAAAUCAUGUGGACUAGUCUUUUAGUUUUGAAAAUUUCAGUCAUCUUGUGCGCAGAUUGCUAUGUUCUGAACUUCUGAUCAUGAUUACGUAUUUUUUUUGCCUAGGAAACUAUAUGUAACUUGGCAUGAACAGUUAUGCAGAGAGAACCUCAAUCUGAAUAUUCCAUGGUGACUGCGCCGGCACGGAAGGAAGGUGCGGUGGACAGUAGCCAUCCUGCACCGCUGCCGCCGAGUGUGUCGCUCCUUGAUCCACUUCAGUGCUCCAAAGCUACGACCUACCUACGAGAUUUGGUCUUGGACACUAGGUAUGUGGCAGGAUGGCUUAGCAAAAAGAAAAUCUAAUUCGGGAAAUCAGUGAUCUGUGAAAAAUGAAGUAAAUCUGUAUGUUACUAGAGAGAAACAUUUCAGAGUUUAAAGUUUGAACUCAGGCAAACGAUUUCAGAUGACUUUAGUCCAACUGGCUUCAGAAACUGUGUUAAACCGAGACUACUAAUUAUGAUUUUCCAUCUUAUUCAGGACCUCUUUCAUGAUUUCAAAAGGAUAUGUAACUAUAUGUAACUUGGCAUGAUCAGUGAUGCAGAUAGAACCCCAAUCAAUCUGAAUCUUCCAUGGUGAGGAAGGAAGGUGCGGUGGACCGUAGCCAUCCUGCACUGCUGCCGCCGAGCGUGUCGCUCCUUGAUCCACUUCAGUGCUCGAAAGCUACGACCUGCCUACGAGGUUUGGUCUUGGACUGUAGAUACGUAUCUGGCAGGAUGGCUAUUGCAGCAAAAAGAAAAUCUAAUUCAGGAAAUCAGUGGAGUCUGAAAAAUGAAGUAAAUCUAUGUUACUAGAGAGAAACAUUUCAGAGUUUGAACUCAGGCAAAGCAUUUCAGAUGACUUUAGUCCAACUGGCUUCAGAAACUGUGUUAAACUGAGACUACUAAUUAUGAUUUUUCCAUCUUAUUCAGGACCUCUCUCAUGAUUUCAAAAGCAUAAUACAGAUGUGCUGACCUCCACCUUAUGUGUCUUAUGUGUUUCCCUUGAUGUUGAGCCAUUGAGCCUAAUCACAAGGCCAAUGCUAUAAAUAAACUACAUUUGGAAUCUCUGUGGUUUUGACCAGCCUGCUCUGUUAUGUCUUUAUUUGUCCUUUUUUUCGAAACAUGAAAGGACCAAUCACAAGACCAAUUGUCUUUAUUUGACCAGCCUACUCUGUAGUUUCCAUUUUGCUUCAAAACAAUGCUAUAAACAAAACAAAAUGAGGUCUACUUGCCAAUGAAUACCGAGUGAGCCUGCUGGAUCCAUACUAUCAAAGUGUUCUGGUGUACACCAAAUAACUGUGAAGCAAAUCAUCUUUGUUGUUGGCUUGUUGCCCAUUUUAUUCUUGUGAGACAAAUAGUUGAUUACUUAUCCUGAGCACUACAUAUAUGGCUCACAGGAAAAAGCCAUGAUACUGAACUCUGCAAUUGUGUGGUAUAUAUGUGUGUACAGUAGUACAGUAUAUAUGCCUCUUCUCCUGUCUCCAGCUACAUUUUCGUCUAUCUCUAGUCUACUGCAAGUCUGCAAUGCUAUGGCGCGACCGACCGACCGAUCAUGAUAUGGAGAUUGUUGUGAGGAUUGGUGAGGAUCAAGAAGAGGCCCUGUGCUCGAUUUUGACGGGCAGGCCAAGCAGCGGCGACGGCAUGGGGUUCCUCACGAAGGUGUCCUCCUUGCAGCAGAGCUUCCAUCUGAACUGCCUCACAAGGUGGUGCAUCGUCACCAGCGUCUCGAUCCUGGAGAACUCUAUCCCGGGGCAUAUCCUCGGGCCGCCCCCGAAGGCGACAAAGGAGCACGGCGGCGCCGCCGCCGACGCCCUUUGGUUCUCGGUCUCGAACCGGGACGGGUCGAACUUGGCCGGCUCAUGGAAGAUGCUCGCGUCCAUGUGCGUCACGUUUGCCGUCCAGAACACCUGAAAAACGUCAUAUCAAGAUUCAAGAGUUUGCAUCAGCUUUCUCGGCAAGCUGGUGAUGCUAUGAGCCUAUGAUUGGUGUGGGUUGACCUGCCAUCCUUUUGGGAUGAGGUAGCCAUCGAACUCGGUGUCCUCGAGUGCUCUUCUGAAGUUGCCGAAGAUCGGAGGGACGACGCGGAGUGUCUCCUGCGCGACCCGCCAUGUGAACUUCAUCUUCGACAGAUCUUCCCAGGUGAGAGCCUCGCCGUCACCUUUGUUCUUGGCAAUCUCCUCAUGCUCUGUGUCACGAAACGAAACACACAUCAUGACCAUGGCAGAGGUUGGUAGUACUUUGCUUCACCGGUCAGUCACUUGCCUUGGACCAUGGCGGCGAGGGUGGCAUCGUCGUUGGCAAGGUGGCGGACCAUGAACGUCAUGAGGAUGGACGACGUGUCGUGGCCGGCGAUGAGGGCGACCAUGGCGUUGUCCACGAUCUCCUCGUCGGUCAGCAGCCGCUCGCCAUGGCCGUCCGUCAGGCCGAGCAGGCAGGUGAUGAGGUCGCUGUUCCGCGACGCCUUGCCGUUGCCUUGCUCCUCCUCCGCCUGGCUGGCCUUCUUCUUCUCCCGCGUGAUCCCCUGGAGCACCCGGCGGGCCCUGCCGCUGGCCUUGAGGCUCCGGCUGAAGGCCGUGAACGGCAGGUUCACCGGGACGGCCCACAUGCCCUCGAUCAUGCGCACGAAGUCGCCGGCCAGGGCGUCCCGCACGGCGCCCCUCUCGAGCCCGAAGAGCAGCGCGGAGAUGAUGUCGAACGUGAGCCGCUUCAUGAGCGGCAGCACCGUGACGGUGGCGCGGCCGGCCCAGUUCUCCUCGAGGUGGCGCCGCACCUCGCCGUCGAUCCUGCCCACGUACGCCUUGAGCAUGUCCGGCCGGAGGAACUCGAGUAGGGCGCCGCGGACGCGCCGGUGGUCGGCGCCGUGGAGGUCCAGGAUGCUCUUCUCCCCGAGUAUCCGCUGCACGGACCGGGGCUGCCGGGUGGAGAGCGCGCCGCUGAAGAACAGGAACUUGUUGGCCGCCGGCCCGGCCAGCAGAACCGUCGGCUUGCCGAAGAGAGACAGCUUGGACACGGGCCCGUACCUGUCGAUCCGGUCCUGUAUCCACCGGCUGCCGCCGUCGCCGCGCAUGGCCCGGAGGAGGCCGAGGCUCUGGCCGAUCACCGGCAGGCCGAGGGAGCCCGGGGGCAGGUUGCCCGGCUGUGUCCUCCUGGCUCUAGCGAGGAGGUGGAUGGCAACGGACGAGGCGGUGACAACAACGAGUGCCACGGCUAUGGCCAAAUAAUCCAUUGGAGAGGGGUCGGUGUUAAGAUGACACUGACUGCUGCUACCUGAAGCUGGAGCUGAAGACGAGAUAUCGGAAUAUAUAGGCGAGCAUGAGCAGGUUGUUUCUGCGGGAACGAAAUUGCUGUCAGAUGGCGUAGUUCAACACGUAACCAUGAUGCACCGGAGAUUCCAAACAAGAAAGAAUCCGCCAUUUCCAACGAACUUGAAAACUCUGAGAUGCCAUCUUGGUAGAAGACAAAAAGGGUAUAUGCUCUUGAGGUAGAAGACAAGUCCUAGGAAGCGAUGACAGUGCCAUCAUCCGUCAAUGAUAAGAUGCACGCAUGAAAUUGGCAAUUCUUUUAGGGCACUACUAUGCGCCGCCGGACCGGCCAAGGGUUCGGCCGGUCGUAUCCAAACCGUCAGAUGUAAGAGCUGGUGGCCGUCAGAUUAUCCUUAUCCCUUCGCACAAAGUCAGCGGUCAGCUCUCUCCUUCCCACGCACGCACUCCUCGCCAGAAGAAAGAAGUGAAACGACGCGCCGCCUGCAGCCGGCACGCGCCACCAACCGUGCGUCUCCUGGCCAUGGCCGCAGCUCCCCUUUGCUGCGCGUCUCCGUUCAUGGCCGCAGCAUCCGUGCAACGUCGUGGCAGCUUUUGUUGCCGAUUGUGGCAGCUUCUCUCACCGGGCUGCUCCAACCGUGGCCUCCGCUCGCCACCACCGCACCUCCGCUCGCUGCCGCACCUGUCGCUGGCAAUACACACCCGUUGGUCGCAGCUUUUCAGCCGCCGCUCAGCAUCACAACAUCUCGGCUCACCAGUUCCAGCAAUUUCGAGUGCCGGUUCCAACAAAAAAUGUCUCACCGCCGAGCCACCGUAGCUCGUCGUGUUGCCGGUUGCAGCUAAUGGUGCUGGUAGUUGAAGCAAAUCGAGAUGCCGGUUGCAGCUCCGGCAACCCGUGGUUGUAGCAUCUGCCACCGCCCGUUCCUGUAUCCCCGUCGCAGUCGGUCCCAGCAACAUGGUCGGCUGUAGCAAAAACUGAUGCGGGUCGUAGCAUCUUGCAACACUAGAUGUAGCUCCGGCCAGCCGACGCUCGACCCGUUCACCGGCGGUUCCAGCAAAAAACAGAUGACGUUGUAGUAAAAAAUCCCGCUAGAUGCAGCUCCGCCACAUGUCACCGCUUGUUGUAGCAUUUGUCACCGUAUCUGUUGUAGCAAAACGCGCCAUCGGUUGAAGCUUUUUUGCUCGCUGGUUCCAUCUUUUUCCAGCGCGUGGUCACCGCGGUCACCGCCCGUCGUAGCAAAAAAUUCUACAGGUUGUAGCACUUUGGAUUGCCGGUCGUAGCAUAUUUUGGUGCCGGUUGUACCACCGCCAAAAUCACUGGGUUGCCGGCUGAUGGCGCCACGCCUUGGCCCAAUGUAGCACUUGGUUUGCCGAUUUUAGCACACCGUGAAGGUGGUUCCAGCAUCUCUAGUUACGGAUGCAGCACCGCGCCAGGCCAGUCCUAGCACCGCAGCCGGCCGGUUCCGGCAAAAAAACGAUGCUGAUAGCAGCACCGCGCGACACCGGUUCCAGCAAAUCCUGUUGCUGGUUGCAGCACUGCAUCAAAUUGGUUAUCCCUGCCCACUGGUGCUUCAGGACCAGCAAUGGCGGUGCGCGCGAAACACGAGCUGCAGCUCCUCCGGUCCUCACGUAGGGCGACGAUGUUCUUCGUUUGGGGAGCGCCCCUCGUACAAUAGCUUUAGCUAUGGCGUCUAAGAGAAAAAAAGAGCAGCGAGAGCAUCAGCCAUGGCGGGGAGGUAGAGAGGAAAAAGGGGACGGGAUAUGUGGACGGGUGUGCGGACAACAGCUCACGACAGAGGAUAAGAAGAAAAAGCGGGGGCAGUGCGCAGGACCCCUGGGAUGACGUGGUCUUGUUUUGUGAGCGCUACGCGUGACAUUAGCGAGCGGACCGGCCGAAGCAUCCGCCGGUCGACCGGGUGUAAACGUUUACCAUUCUUUUAGGAGUCCGGACAACUAUUGGCAGAGCAACACUACAAUCUGUCCCUCUUCGAGGAGCAUCGACUGGCGGAGGAGCAGAUGGAUGCGGAGUGCGAGUCCAUCGUCGUCGUCGUCGCAUACAUGGUUGCGGUGACCCUAGCUCAUCAUUGACGUCAACCGGGCGAUGCUCGUGUCUGUGCACAACGCUCACAUCAUCCACAACAUUGGCAGCUCCGCGACGAUGCGCAACCAGCUAUUCGAGGGACUGGAGGGGGAGGACGACAACGCUGCAGCAUCACAAUGAUAUUGCCAAAGAGGCAUCCUUCGGCAGCUCCGCCUCAAUCGCGUCGGCUGCCAAUGACGACGAAGUAGGUCAGUCCUACGCAGGACCGUCGACCUCACAUAUGACGCAAAGUUGUAGGGUUGGUUAUUAUCAUAAUUUUAUUAUAGGGUCCUUUUGCUAUGUACAAAUUAUUUCACAAAUAAAUGAAAAUUCGGUGUCCGCUUCUAUUUUGAUGACUCUAGUUGAUUUAUCUAUUUUUAAAACAAAGACGUAAGGAGGAUCUGACAUUAAAUUAAUAAAGCCCACCAACUAAACGGAGACACAUGGGUUCAUCAAAACGAAAAUAAAUCAGUUCAGAACGAUGGGGUACAUGGCCGAAGGCCCAUAAACAGAGCACAUGGGCUCAAAACACAACAGAGACACAGUUCCCUAAACGACCCCCAAAGGGGGAUGAGCGACGGGAGCUCCUAUACAGCGCUACAGGCGCCCGUUAACGAUCCGGCGCCUGCAGCGCUGCUAGCAUGGGCCGGCCCACUAGCAUGCUGCCCCAAGUUUUUUUCAUUUUUUUACGAAAAUAAAAAUAUGAAAUGAAGAAAGGUUUACAGAUUUAAAGAAAAAAGUUCAUCCAUUUGAAAAAAUACGUUCACAUCUUUAAAAAGGUUCAUAAAUUUUGAAAAAGUUCAUCAAUUUGAAAAAAAACUUCAUUCAAGUUAAAAAAAGUACAUCCAAUUUAGCAAAAGUUCAUAGAAAUUGAAAAAAAGUUCAUGUAUUUUUAGAAAAAGUUCAUGGAACUGAAAAAAAGUUCAUAAAUCAAAAAAAGUUCAUCCAUUUUUAAGACAAAUGUUCAUUAAAUUUCGAAAAAGUUCAUUAGUAUUCAAAAAAGUUCAUCAAUCUCAAAAAAGUUCACAGAAUCUUAAAAAAAAACGUCCAUCGGCGCUUAGAUGGGCCGGCCCAUUUACAGACGCCACAGGCGCCAGUUAACAAAUGCACGUUAACUGGCGCCUGUGGCGCCAAAUAGGAAAUGCCAUGAGCGACUUAGUCGAUGUGUUGAAGUUUUUCCAUCGUCUGCUGCAUUGCUUCAACAUCUCGACAUUUUCCGAACGGGGUCCAUUAGUGUAAAAAGAGAAGGUAUUUGAAUAUACAGUCAACCGGAUGAGAAGGGAACACAUACUCAAUGGUAGUUCCGAUUGAAUGACCGGUGGUCUGAAUACAUAGGAGAGCGAUCGACCUGAAAAACAUUCGGUCCAGCCCUGUUAUUAAUCUAGCCGACNNNNNNNNNNNNNNNNNNNNNNNNNNNNNNNNNNNNNNNNNNNNNNNNNNNNNNNNNNNNNNNNNNNNNNNNNNNNNNNNNNNNNNNNNNNNNNNNNNNNNNNNNNNNNNNNNNNNNNNNNNNNNNNNNNNNNNNNNNNNNNNNNNNNNNNNNNNNNNNNNNNNNNNNNNNNNNNNNNNNNNNNNNNNNNNNNNNNNNNNNNNNNNNNNNNNNNNNNNNNNNNNNNNNNNNNNNNNNNNNNNNNNNNNNNNNNNNNNNNNNNNNNNNNNNNNNNNNNNNNNNNNNNNNNNNNNNNNNNNNNNNNNNNNNNNNNNNNNNNNNNNNNNNNNNNNNNNNUACCCCUCCCCCCCGAGCGGGGCAACCAGGGCAGCCCUCUCUCCCCUCGCGCCCAGCCCCACCUCCCACCCCUCCUCCGGCCGCUGCCGGCGGCUGGCGCCGCCGGCGGUGGCGGCCCUCUUCCUCUUCCCGUCGCGGUUCCCCGGCUCGGACGGCGGUUUUCGGGGACGGUGCUCCUCGGCGGGUGGUGCUCCGGUGUAGAUCGGGCGCAGAUUCGGCGGCGGUGCGGCCCGGCGGUGGCGGUUGGCGGUGGGGAUGCCACAAAUGUACCACAAAUAAAAAUGAUGUUUUAGGAAGACACAAGUCAUGAAAGCUGCCAAUGACGACGAAGUAGGUCAGUUCCACGCGGGACCGUCAACCUUACAUACGACACAAAGUUGUAGAGUUGGAUUUUAUCAUUAUUUUAUUAGGAUCCUUUUGCUAUGUACAAAUUAUUUCACAAAUAAAUGAAAAUUCGGUGUCCGCUUCUAUUUUCAUGACUGUGGUUGAUUUAUUUAUUUUUUAGAACAAAGACGUAAGGAGGAUUCGACUUUAAAUUAAUAAAGCCCACCAACUAAACAGAGACACAUGGGUUCAUUGAAACGAAAAUAAAAUCAGUUCAGAAUGAUGGGGUAUAUGGCCGAAGGCCCAUAAACAGAGCACAUGGGCUCAAAACACAACAGAGACACAGUUCCCUAAACCACCCCCGAAGGGGGGAUGAGCGACGUAGUCGAUGUGUUGAAGUUUUUCCAUCGCCUGCUGCAUUGCUUCAACAUCUCGACAUUUUCCGAACGGAGUCCAUUAGUGUAAAAGUGUAAAAGAGAAGGCAUUUGAAUAUACAAUCAACCGGAUGAGAAGGGGACACGGACUCGAUGGUAAUUCCGAUUGAAUGACCGGUGCUCUGAAUACAUAGGAGAGCUAUGAUGCAUUGCGCCCGAAGCCUAACGUACAGUCAUGUUGUAGUCGCGUUAUAUUUUCAUAUAUUUACAUAAAGACACUUUGGGCGGCUUAAAAAAUUAGUUGCCUCUCCCCAGCAUAAAUGAUAAGCCGCUUUCUAAUUUUGUUGAGGCUUCUAAAUUAGUUAUCACAUAACUAGUUCGGAAACUUCAAUAAAUGACAGAGACGGCUUAUGAAAAAGUUAGAGAGGAGGCGUCUUAUUUUUUUAAGACGCCAAAACAACUGGCCUUAUUAUGGGUUGGUGGAUAUUUUUUGGAACAAACAACAUGUCAACAUUUUAGUCCAUUAGCUGAUCAAAGCCCAUCACGAGACAUGAGGUCCACUACGCAGUGUCAAGUCGGCCCCUCGAGGGAUCGUGGCAUACUGGCUUCGUCCUUGAUCGCUUUACCCCGCAAUUGCCGCCGCGGCCGCAAGGGUCACCUCAAUAAACGGGGGAUUUGAUAAUUUGCCAUCACUUUCUUUGGACUUUGAUAAUUUGCCACCCCUUACUUUGUAAUUAAUUUGAUGACAUUCUAUAUUUUGGACUUUGAUCUUUUGCCACUUUUCAACACAAAACAAACUUUGGAAAUAAUAGACAACAUAAGUGAACAAAAUAGAGGACUAGUAUGCCCUUAUACCUAUUUGACCAAACAUUACACAGGGGAAGGGAUGAACUCUUGCUGCACUCCUCUCUUGAACCUUUUUGCUGCUCCCUGCCGGCCCUUUGCUGCUCCUCGCUGACCCUUCUUGGCCUGCUGCCGCUGCCCCCUCUUGCUCCCCUCCUGCACCUUCUACCCUGCUGCCGUUGCCCCUAGUACUGCAGUCUCUCCUUCCCCUGCUGGUGACCCUAACCCUAGGGCCGGCCGCCGCGCCUGCCGGUUACCCUAACCCUAGGGCCGGCCGCCGCCGCCGCCGGGGAGAUGAGUGGGAGAGAGGGAUGGAACGGGACAGAGGAAGGGAGCGAGAGAGAGGGACUCACCGGGGCCGCCGCCGUCGAGUACCACCCGGGCCGCCGCCGCCGACCAGUAGCGCCAGAGCCUCGCGUGCGACAGAGGGGAUGAGAUCGAGCGAGCACUCCUCUGUUCCUAGUCAAUUGAGAGGUAAGGGUAAGUUUGUCUUUUGUUGUGGGACCCGUCUGACAAAGGGCAAAAUAUCAAACACCCAGAUAAAGAGUGUCACCAGAUCAAAUGCAAAGUAAAGAGUGACAAAUAGUCAAUGUACCAAGUAAGGGGUGGCAAAUAAUCAAAUUCCCCUCAAUAAACCUACAUCUAUGGCCACCUCCACCCGAUCACCGCUCCCGCCGGCCGACCCCGAGAAGGAGAAGCCGCUCGCCCGCUCCGCACCGGCGACCGCUCCUGCGGACCUCGCGAACCCAGGUCCAAAUACCCGCCCUCGAACCCUUGAAGUCAUUAAUCCUCGAGCACCCUUGGAGCCAGGCCAGGGGCAGCAGUUUCACCAUUCUGUGGUCUUUGAUUUUGGUACCGUUGCAGAGAAGAAGAUGCGCCGCCCUGUGCCGAUGACGGACGAGGAGCGGAAGAGGAUCAAGGACCUGAAGGAGCAGCACCGGUCAGGGAUGGAGGGGUUACGAGAGUACUUCCAGAUACACAAGGAGCUGCGGCACCACCACGACGAGCUUCUGUUCCGGCGGAGGUGCCUGGCCGCACGUCUGGUCAGCCGAAUCGCCUUCCAGCGCCAUGAUGCUGCCUACAUCAAGCAUCAGCGUGACCUUGGCUUGAAGCUGGGGGAUAAGUUGCCGGAGGAGCUCAAGAAGAUUGGGCCACCAAUGGGGGCGGCGCUCGUAAUGUGGGCUGAGAUGUGCAGGGCCCUGAACAUAGGCAUGGAUAACUACAUUACUGAGUGCGACAAUCCGGAGGCGUUCCGGGGGAGGAUGAGGUCGUUGGGGCUCAUUCGUGAUGAGAAGGGAGCUCCGCAGGAUUGUGUUGCCCCCCAAGAGUAGGAAUUGAGCAUGUUUGCUUGGUGUGGAUUAAGUCUGUUUGCUUGGUGUGGAUUAGUGCUUGUUUAAUCCUCGGAACGAAAUGUGUUGGGGAUGGGUUCUUGUUUAAUCCUAUUGUGCUCAGGAUGAUUUCUUUGUAGCGGGACUGCUUCAUCAAACUAAGUGGAGUAGUCUUUUGGUUUUGAAAUUUAUGAUCAUGUUGUGCGCUAAUUGUUUUGAUCUGGUUACGAGUAUGCAAUUUUUUGCCUAGUAAACUGUAUAACUUGGUGUGAACAGUCAUGCAGAUAGAACCCCAAUCUGAAUAUUCCACAGUUCGUGCACCGGCACUGAAGGGAGGAGGUUGACCAGUUCAGCCGAUGAAGUUACAAGUAGGACAGGUUUUGGUGCUGGCGACCAAUUGCUUGAUUGAAUUAAGAUUAAACUGGGUAGAACUUGUUCAGGGCGAAGUUAAACAGAGCAGGGAAAGCAUAUUCAAAUAUUUGAUUGUCGCAUCACAAAGAAGCCAUAUCCGAGCUUGCACUUCGUGCUAGCAUCAAAGGACCAUGUAAUUGCUGGGAAUAAGACAUUCUUCCUGAAUAUGAAGUUUUUUAUGAUUUUCUUUUGCCACGGCCAUGUGUUGCUGAGUAAUAGUAAAUCUACUGACGCUAAAAGAAGAGGUAUAUGCUGGAUUAGUUGUACUACAGGGAGAGAAUUAAACUGAGACUCAAAACCCAUGUACUCAGGGUUAGUCAGCUAUCCUUUACACGAGAAGGAACACAGAUAGCGAGAGCAGGCAAGAUCUGGCGACCAAAAUCCAUUGCAGGGCCGAGACAUGCACGCCACAGGCCACGCGUUGGGCAGUGAAGGGUAUUGAUCCAGCAGUAGCAUGAAACACUCGCAUCAAUCAAAGUAGACCCUCCUCGGGAACACCCAGCCACCCGAGAAGCUGAAGUCGCUCGGGUCUUUCUCUAGCAACAUCUCUUUCUGAACGUUCAUGUCCCUAGCAACAUCUCUUUCUGCACGUUCAUGUCCCCUGGCAACAUCUCGUUGUAGUUCUUGAUCCCCCAAAACAUACCCGUGUCAUCUGCAGACCACACAUUUCUUACCCACUCUUGCUUCAUAGUAUUAUACUGCUAUUUAACCCUGUCGAAGAUUGUGUGUUUCGGUGACGGAGCUUGACAGAGCUUGUUUAACAACUAAUUAUAUUUCACAUAAUUUCUCUAGGGUAGGGGGCCAUAGCCCCCCUUGAUCCUAUUCCACUGGUGUGCUUACUGAUGGCGCCAUACUCGUAGUCAGAGUGUGGCAGAAUGUCAGGUGGCUUUGCCUGAGGCACUGAGGCACCGAGGGAGAGUUUGCAUGGCCGCAGCUGCCCGAUGGACACCCGACGAUCAUGCUACAGUAGAAACUUGAGAGGGUCACGCAGCAGGACGGUGAUGGGACAUCCGUAAACGGCGAGUACAAGCAGAUGAUCUGCUAUGUCACCGCGCGACACCAAGCCAAGGAAGAGACAUCGCUCUGGCUCAACGCACGGCGCGUCAAGACAGUGGAUCGUUGGCAACAAGAAAGAAUAAAAUGCUUACGCAUAACUUGUUCGUGUUGCUGCUCAUCGACCUUGGACCUCGUUGUGGGCACAAUGGGGUGGGUUGGGUCGACCCUCGUCUGCGAUGAAGUCGGAGUCGCUUGCUCGGUGAUUUGGGAUGGCGAUGACGCCUCGUUGAGAAGUUAUGACAAUGACACCUCUAUGCUCUCUUGAUAAGGCUCUCUUUAGAGAGGUGUGUGUAUGGUAUCCUAUGUGUGCCACUUGGCAGGCUGUACCGGUUUUUACCCGGUUUUAUGAUAAUUAACUGAUAAUUCUCUUUUCUGCUUAAUUAAUGUGUCAGACAAAUCUUUUGCCUUUGUUUAAAAUAAUAUCACCACAAUAAGCAGAGAAGGAUGGCAGUAGCCAGAGAAGGCGAAAGCACACAUACCACGACUCACCCAUACACAGAGGCUGAACUGUUGAAUGUAAGUUAACUAGGCGCCCUGCAACUGACAUUUGUUUUGUGUGUACUUCUAGUUUGAUGCCAUGUUUGGAAUGCAGGAAUUACAAAAACCAGUUCCUGCAAAUAUCAAAAAUAUAUUUUGUAAUUUCUAAGCAGGCUUACUUUAGAAUAUACUGCGACAUGUGGAAAGACUCAUGUGUCAACCUCAAAUUUCACAUUUGCUUCAUACUACCAACAUACCGAGGCACACAUCUGCACGUUGAAAUAGUACUUUGAGGCUGAAAACAUACCCAAUCUGAAAUUUCUGAUCAUCUUGUGCGCUAAUUGCUUUGUUCUGGUUACGAGUAUGCAUUUCUUUUCCUAGUAUAAACUACAUAACUUGGUGUGAACACUGAACAGUCAUUUGCAGAUAGAAACCCAAUCUGAAUAUUCCACAGUUCGUGCACUGGCACAGAACGGAGGCGCGGCAAACCGUAGCCAUCCUGCCACACCGUGUUGGCGUGGCGGCUCCCUUGCUGGGUACAGUGUGGCAGGUGGCUACUGUAGUAAAUAGAACAAUCAAAUUUUGGAAAUCAGUGGAGUCUAUGGAAAAUGAAAGAAAUCUAUGUCACUAGAGCGAAACAAUUCAGACUGUGAACCCAGGCAACCAUUUCAGAGAACUUUAGUCCAAAUGGCAUCAGAAAUUGUGUUAAAUUGAGAUUACCAAUUAUGAUGUUCCAUCUUAUUCAGGACCUCUCUCGAGAUUUAGAAAGCAUAAUACUUUCGAAAUCUAGUGAAUAUAGAUAUGCUGACCUCCACCUUAUUUGUCUUCCGUGUUUCUAUAGACUUUGCAUUACUGAAACUAAACAAGAGAAUAAUGCUAUAAAGAAAUCAGAUCUGGAACUUGUGUGGUAGCUACUUGUGCGUCCUACUUCGUUAUGGCUUUAUUUGCCAUUUUUCUUUGUUUCAUUUAUAUUGUUGUUUCUCUAAAACAAAGCGCUCUUAUUCAAGCUCUCUUGUUUCACUGCUAACUAGGAUAUGACCUAGGGAAGAUCUUGCUUUCUUACUGUAAAUGUGUGGGAAGUCAUUCCUUUGUGCUCUCAUCUGGAGACUCGAUUUCAACCCAUUUUCAGCGAGAAGAUUUCUGGUUUAGUGCACCAAGGAAGGGACUUAUGGUUUUCUCGUUGCCUAGGUCAUUAGCCGGCCCUGUUUGUUUCGGAUUUUGGGACCAGAUUCAGCUUUACCAGUGAAGCCGAAUCUGGAAUCUGAAACAAACAGCUAUUUGGAAUCAGCUUUGCCAGUGAAGCUGAAUCUGCAUUUGGAUCAUUUUUAGUGCAAUUUUCUGAAGCACCUCAAAGUGUACUUCGGUGGCGGAGCUGAUUCCUAGAAUCAGCUUCGGCAUUGAAGCGAAUCCACAGGUGAUUAAAAUCCAAGCGAAGCUAGAACAAACAGUGCUGAUGUAUCAUUGCUUCAUGGAAAUAUCUUGCUUCUUGUCCUUGGCCUUUUUAUUGGUGCGGAAUUUUCUUGCACAGAUGUAAGAAAAACGACGGAGGAAGUACAUCACAGGAAACUGCAUAUAAAUUAGUCUUAAAUCCUAUGGUACACUAUCACCCGUCAUUUUCAGUUGGAUAAAUACAACGAUGAUGGAGAACAGAGUGACAUUGAAUCCAAAUGAUUUUGAUAAGGUAACUGAUGCUUGGUUUAUUUUUUUUGGUGUGGACGUAAAUGGCUAGCUAUUACCACUAAGUGAAGAAAAUACAUUGCGCAAUGACAAGCCAUUUAUCAUGAGGUUACCGUGCUGCUCUGACUUUGUUCAGACUAACAGACUAUUAUUAUGUCAUCCAGACAAAAUUGCCGUCACCUGGAUUGCAGGUCGAGGUCAUUCUGGUAGAUUACGGUGGUCCAAAACCACCGAAACAAAACCCAGCUGAUGUAUCCGCUGUUGAGAAUAUAUGAUGAUGAUUCAUGUAGGUGCACCAGCGCCAAAGAAAGCAGUGCUGCACCCGUAGAGCCCAACAAAGAAGCUGGAAGUGGUGAUAAGAGCAACUCCGACGCAGUGAUCCAAGCGGACACGGAUUUUGUUCGUUUUUUUAUCCGUUUGGGUUAUCUGUCCGUCUAGCGGACAUGCGGCAGACAUGCGAUGCACCCAACGCGAUACAUGCAGCGGACAAGCAAAAUAGCAGGCAAGCGCACAGCAGCAGCAGCACCAAGCGAGCCGGCCUCGCGCACGACAGGCAGUGCCCCGGCCCCGCGCCAGCGCCGCCGGCGGCCCGAGGGCGCUGGCUCGCCGACGUCAUCAGUCCCCCUCCACCCUUCUUCUCCACCGCAGCCACUACGAUCAAUCUGGCGCAGAGGAGCUGCUCCAAGAACCAUUUGCUUCAGGAGCUGGUGCGCGGGAGAGGCCCGACCAUGCGCCGCCGCCGACGAGAUCUGCAGUUCCCCGGGUCUUCCCGACGCCGCGCCGCCCGCGUGCAGUUCCCGGCCCCAUCGGCUCGGCUCAAAACGGGAGGCGGCAGCGGAGAUCUCCCCGUCGUCCUGGACCACGGCAUGGGAUGCAGCUUGCGCCACUGAGCGCGGCGGCGGGCCUCGAGGACGGCGGAGGAGGCGGGAAGGAGGACUGGGUGGGGAUGGCGGCGGCCUGCGCCUGUGAGCGGGACGGUGGAGAAGGUGGUGAAGGAGGAGUGGGGACGCCAGCUCGUGCGCGCUCACUGCUAAAUGGGACCAAGGGUAUGUCCGCUUCGUACCCAUUUGUUCCUAGAUUUGGGCCAAGUUUGGGCCGGGGACGGAUAGCACACGGACACGGACGUCCGUUUAGGUCGCUCCGUUAGGCAAGUUUUGUGUCCGGAUAACUCAAACAGACAAAAUGGGUCGCCCCAUUGGAGUUGCUCUAAGGAUGAUGCUAAGACGGAUCAUCCAGGGGCAGGAAGGAGAAGAGCGGUGGCCAAGGUCAGCAAAUUCAGCCAUAGCUUCUGAAACAAGCUUUUGCACAGAAGUAGCCAUCAGCAGCUGCUAGCAGAAUCGAGAACAUAUCAGCAUGAGCUAGUUAAGGCCAUUGCGCAGAUGCUCCCUCGGGUUUCUCAUUUGGAGGCGAAUAGGCCUUUCGUUUGUCAAGUGUACAGCUUCGCUCCCCUGGGACCAUGAUGGAAUGCCACUUCAAAGCAAGAGUAGCAAAGUUGAACAGAAGAACUAGUUUAUUUUUGAAAAUGUUACAACUUGACUAGUUCUGACCAGUGCAGAUGAAGAACAGGUAUAUGUUGAGAGACAGAACGUGAGAAAAUAGCUUGAGUCAGAAAGGAAGAAACAUGGGAUAGUAGUAUACUGUAGACAGCAAAGAAGGUGCUACACAAAUCACCAUAUAGAAGUGGAUUCCAAAACCACGAGUGGUCCACGAGAACAGAUCACAAGAUAAAUCUCCUAAUUUUAAUUUAUCAUUCCAGGCAUGCAGUUCAGAUAUAUAGGAACUUCAAACACAGUACUGGAUACUUGGAUGGUUUUCAGAACGACCAGACAAAUGUUCACACCACUCAUUUUAACAUAGGAGUCACAUGAUUGGCAGCUAGGCCUUGCAGGCACCCGACUGUCCAGACAACGCUCAU